rnacentral:rRNA from 1 species
UACAGAGGUCCCGAGCGUUGUUCGGAUUCACUGGGCGUAAAGGGUGCGUAGGUGGUGAGGUAAGUCGGAUGUGAAAUCUCCGGGCUCAACCCGGAAAUGGCAUUGGAAACUACCUUGCUGGAGGAUUUGAGGGGGGGAUUGGAAUACUUGGUGUAGCAGUGAAAUGCGUAGAUAUCAGUCGGAACACCGGUGGCGAAGGCGGCUUCUUGGGCCGUUCCUGACGCUGAGGGCG